GCCGCUAUAGCUCAGGAGGUAGAGCGCAUCCUUGGUAAGGAUGAGGUCACCGGUUCAAACCCGGUUAGCGGCUCCA
rnacentral:tRNA from 1 species